GAAGUUUGCAUCAAAGACUGUAGAGAAGGUUCAAGAUAUUGGUGAGGAUGCAUAUGAUGUGGCCACAGGCAAAGGGGUUGAAACUAAAUGUAAAGGGAGGGUUAAGAGACCCAAGACUGAUUCAAAGAUAAAAAUGGUUGGGGCUCAUUUUUCCUGUGACAAUGAUUCAAAGGGUACGGGGUCUUUGGGUGAUUCAUUGGAGGAUCGCAAAGAGCAAGAAUUGUGGCCUGGGGAGGGUUCCAAUCUGUCUUUGGAUGAAAAGAUGGCUGACUCGUUAUCUGCCCCUUUUCAGAGGACACAAUCUGGAUUAAUCAGGAAAUCUCACAUGAAUUCUGGUUUGAAAAAGAAUGGUAGGGAUCGAAACUUUGAUGAAGGAUGUAGCCCUAGCUUUGACGGUGAUUUGAAGCCUGUGAGGAGAUCUCAGUCUGUUUCAACCACAAAAGUGAGACAGAAAAUUUUGAAUUUCAAUGAUAAUUCACAUCUUGUUUCUGAUUUGAGUAAAUUGGAAUUAACGUCCCAGCAGUGUAAGAAAAUUGAACCUAUGGCAGACACUAGUGGUUUGAAUAUUCAAGAAGAAGCUAUUUUGAAUACUUGUACAAAUAAUGUUUGUGAUAUCAGUGGCAACGAGAAUGUUUGUGUCCAUGGGGUUGAUGGUUCUGGCUUUAGCCAACGGGCUAGUUCUGGAACUCAAUCUUUGAAGGUUGGGUUAAAGCUUUGUUCUAUGGAUAAGGCAAGCACUUUGGCCCCUGAUGAUCAAGAAAUGCCCUUUUGUGCCUCUUCCCUGGAGCAGAUGGAAGAAUUUUACAAGUGUGAGGGUGAGUACAAGAGAGUUUUUUCUGAUGCAUUGAGGCAACAUUCAAGGAAUGCUUCAGCAAUAGACAAUUCAAGUUCAGACCGCAAAGUUUCCUCUUCAAUUGGAAAAGAAGUUUCAGUGGCUUGUGUAGAUGAUGAGUUAACAGACAAAUCUUGUAAAUCUAAAUCCUUGAAGGUUAGCAAAACUGGUAGUGAUUCCAAUACCGCUCUUGGGGAGGCAGGUCUUGCUGCCAUUUCUUCAAAAGGGGAACAUGAUUUAGUAUCUAAUGGUAGGUUAUCUCUAACAACUGAAAUGUCAUGUGGACACCGGGAAUCUGGAUUUGCUUUUCAGAAGCGUAGCUCUGGUUUCUAUCCAGAUCAACCUUCUGAUGCAUCUAAGGGGCCUUGUGUUCCAGGUCAUGAUCCUCUUUCUAUUGGUGAAGAGGCUAACAGAGAUUCUCCUUCUUCUGUGACUCUUGAUGAAAAUGGAAGUUCUCCGGAAGAUGCAGUGUCUAUACCUGAUUCUGAAAACAAAGACAAUAAAUUAUCUGCUGUUCAACGUGCUGCUCGCAUUGCUAAAAAGCGUAGGCAUGGAGACAUGGCUUAUGAAGGGGAUGCUGAUUGGGAGAAUUUGAUAAAUGAGCAAGGUUUUCUUGAAAAUCACCAGGUUGUAGACUGUCACCGGUCUUUAAGAGGAAGAGACAAGUUUGAUUCAUCUUCAAAUAUUCUUACUGUUGCUGAUAAUGGUGGGGCUGCAACAGUGUCAGCAGGGCUGAAAGCUCGUGCUGCUGGUCCAAUCGAGAAAAUUAAAUUUAAAGAAGUCUUGAAGCGCAGAGGUGGGCUUCAGGAAUACUUGGAAUGCAGGAACCAGAUCUUAAGUCUUUGGAGUAGGGAUGUUAGCAGAAUUUUGCCACUCACGGAGUGUGGGGUCACUGAUACCCCUUCUGAGGAUGAACCGUCUCGUGCUUCAUUAAUUAGGGAGAUCUAUACGUUUCUUGAUCAGAGUGGGUACAUAAAUGUUGGUAUUGCUUCUAAGAAGGAAAAAGCAAAUCAUAUAGCAAAGCAUGGCUAUAAACUUUUCAAAGAAGAAAAACUUGAGGGAAGUUCUGGGGCCUCUGUUGCUGAUUCAGAGGAUGGAGUUGGUUUCAUCCUUGGUCAGGUUAAGCAUUCUGAAACUUCUGUGGAGGCCAAAAAUGGUGAUAUAUCGGAUGAUGGGAACCAGAUGGUAAAAGUGAAAAAGGGCAGUUUGGUUAGCCCAGAAUUACCUAAUGUGACAGAACACAAAGUAUGCCCAAUUGUUGAGUGCCUACAAAAUGGUAGCACUGAUGCACCUGACAUAUUGGUUAAUGUCAACGUUUUGAGGGCUGAUCCAUCUUCCAAAAUGGUUGAUGGUGGAAAAGAUCCAAUUCUAAUUGAAGUGACCAAUGAUUCACAGAGUGUUAAAUCUGGCUGUCAUGAUGUUACUUGGGGCAGCCAACAUGUGCAGUGUGAUUCAGAAAUCAGAAAGAAAAUCAUUAUCAUUGGGGCAGGUCCUGCUGGUUUAACUGCUGCUCGCCAUUUGCAACGUCAGGGUUUCUCUGUAAUUUUACUUGAGGCUAGAAAUAGGAUCGGUGGUCGUGUUUAUACAGAUCACACAUCUCUCUCAGUUCCUGUGGAUCUUGGGGCAAGCAUAAUUACAGGUGUUGAGGCUGAUGUGGCCACUGAAAGAAGACCUGAUCCUUCCUCACUGAUUUGUGCUCAGUUGGGCCUAGAGUUGACUGUAUUGAAUAGUGACUGCCCUCUUUAUGAUAUUAUUUCUGGUCAAAAAGUUCCUUCAGGUCUGGAUGAAGCUCUGGAAGCAGAGUACAACAGCCUUCUUGAUGACAUGGUAUUGCUUGUUGCUCAGAAGGGGGAACAUGCUAUGAAAAUGUCUCUUGAGGAGGGUUUGGAAUAUGCUCUUAAAAGGCGUCGAAUGGCACGAUUAGGAAGAGAUUUCGAAGACAUUUAUCUGCACAAUUCAAUGGAUGCUUAUUCUAAAGCCAGUGGUGUUGACAGCAGAGUUCAUGGUGGAAAUUGUUUUGAAGAAGAUGCACUAAGUCCUCUUGAAAGAAGGGUUAUGAAUUGGCACUUUGCCAACUUAGAAUAUGGUUGUGCUGCUUUGCUUAAGGAAGUAUCUCUUCCCUUCUGGAAUCAAGAUGAUGUUUAUGGAGGAUUUGGAGGAGCCCAUUGCAUGAUCAAGGGUGGUUACAGUGCUGUUGUUGAGUCUCUUGCAGACGAACUUCUUAUACAUUUCAACCAUGUAGUCACAGAUAUCUCAUAUAGUUCAAAGGACUCUAAAGUAAGUGAUGGUCAGUCCAAAGUCAAAGUUGCCACAGCAAAUGGCAGUGAAUUCUGGGGAGAUGCUGUGCUUAUUACUGUUCCACUUGGGUGCUUGAAAGCAGAAAGUAUAAAGUUUUUUCCCCCGUUACCCCAAUGGAAGUCCUUGGCCAUCCAGCGGCUUGGUUUUGGAGUUCUUAAUAAAGUAGUGCUGGAAUUUUCAGAGGUCUUUUGGGAUGACUCUGUGGACUAUUUUGGAGCAACUGCUGAAGAAACUGAUUUGAGGGGGUGGUGCUUUAUGUUUUGGAAUGUCAGAAAAACGGUUGGGGCACCUGUUCUUAUAGCUUUAGUGGUUGGUAAGGCAGCUAUUGAUGGUCAAAAUAUGAGUUCAUCUGACCAUGUAAACCAUGCAGUCCAGGCUCUUCGAAAAAUUUUUGGGGAGGCUUCAGUACCAGAUCCAGUUGCAUCAGUUGUGACUGAUUGGGGCAGAGAUCCUUUCAGCUAUGGUGCAUACUCAUGUGUAGCUGUUGGAGCAUCUGGAGAGGACUAUGAUAUAUUGGGCAGGCCCGUUGAGAACUCUUUAUUUUUUGCUGGUGAGGCCACCUGCAAGGAACAUCCUGACACUGUUGGUGGUGCAAUGUUGAGUGGGCUUAGAGAGGCUGUGCGUAUUGUUGACAUAUUUACCACUGGAAAUGAUUAUACUGCUGAAGUAGAGGCAAUGGAGGCUGCACAGAGACAAUCAGAGUCUGAAGGAGAUGAAGUUAUGGACAUAGUGAGGAGACUUAAAGCUGUUGAGCACUCCAAUGUCUUCUACAAGAACUCUUUUGCUCAGGCCCUUAUUCAGACCAGGGAAUCCUUGCUAGAGGAUAUGUUCUUUAAGGCAAAAACUACUGCAGGGCGGUUACAUUUAGCCAAAGAGUUGCUGAAUCUUCCUGUUUCAGUCCUGAAAUCAUUUGCUGGGACCAAGGAAGGGCUUACCAUGCUCAACUCUUGGAUACUGGACUCAAUGGGGAAGGAUGGUACUCAGCUUUUACGUCAUUGUGUUCGUCUUCUUGUGCUGGUUUCUACUGAUCUACAUGCAGUGCGUCUGUCAGGCAUUGGGAAAACUGUCAAAGAAAAAGUUUGCGUACAUACUAGCCGUGAUAUACGUGCCAUAGCAAGUCAGUUGGUUAAUGUGUGGCUUGAAGUCUUCCGGAAAGGAAAAAAUUCCAGUGUUGGAGUAAAGUUUUCCAGGCAAUCAAAUGCAGUAGAUCCUUUCAAGAGAAAAUCUCUUAAAGAUCCAGCUUCAGGCAAGCCACCUCUGCAUUCAAAUCAUAGUGGUUUGGAACAUAAAGGAUCUGCAGGAAGCCAUUUGAUUUCUGGUGCAAACAUGAGGAGAGAGAAUGACAGACUAGAUACUGAAGUGGAGGACAGAAAUUUUGCCAUGUCUGAAGAAGAACAGGCUGCUUUUGCUGCAGCUGAAGCUGCUCGAGCAGCAGCUGAAGCGGCUGCUCGAGCUGCAGCUGAGGCAGCUGCUAAGGCAUUUGCAUCCUCGGGGCCACAGCUCCCCAAUAUACCUUCCUUCCACAAAUUUGCUAGACGGGACCAAUAUGGGCAGAUGGAUGAAUUUGAUCUUAGAAGGAAGUGGUCUGGUGGUGUUUUAGGAAGACAGGAUUGUAUAUCAGAGAUAGAUUCCAGGAACUGCAGAGUGAGGGAUUGGUCCGUUGAUUUCUCCACUGCUUGUGUUAAUUUUGACAAUUCAAAAACUGCUGACAACCUCUCACAGCGGAGCCAUUCAAAUGAGAUUGCAUGUCAGUUGAACUUGAGAGAGCACUCUGGAGAAAGUGCUGCUGCUGCAGACAGCAGUAUCUUUACAAAAGCAUGGGUUGAUACUGCUGGGAGUGUGGGAAUAAAAGACUAUCAUGCAAUUGAGAGGUGGCAAUCUCAAGCAGCUGCAGCUGAUUCUGAUUUCUUCCAUCCAGCCAUGCAUGUAAAGGAUGAGGAAGAAUCAAACACAAGUUCUAAACCACGCACCUGGAAGCAUGAUAGACAAGCAAAUGGGAGCUCUGUUUCACAAGUUACAAUAAACAAUGAGUCACUUGAAAAUCGUCCUCGAGGGGCAGAUCAUAUAAAACAGGCAGUUGUGGAUUACGUUGCAUCAUUGCUCAUGCCCCUUUAUAAGGCAAGGAAAAUUGAUAGGGAUGGAUAUAAGACAAUAAUGAAAAAGAGUGCAACAAAGGUGAUGGAGCAGGCCACAGAUGCUGAGAAAAACAUGGCUGUUUCUGAGUUUCUUGAUUCCAAGCGCAAGAAUAAGAUUCGGUCCUUUGUCGACAAAUUGAUUGAGAGGCAUAUGACUAUGAAGUCAACUGUUAUAUCAUGAUGUUUGUGGAUUGGCUGGCACUUGUUUUUACCUCUGUGCUUCCAUGUAAUACCCACAACAGAUGAUGGUGGUGUGGGGGUAGAGUUCUCAAUUGUGCGUUUCUUGUCUACAUCACAUUAAACUGCCAACAUCAUUGCAGUGAUCCUGAAGUUGUUGCGGGAGAAAGGAAAUAGUUUUUUUGCUUUCUGUUCAAUCAUUAUUGGUGGAUAUUGAUGGAAAUUGCUUGUCUGAUUUUUACUGCUGAUGUGUUCUGAAUUCGUAAUGUAAAGCUGGCCAGGAUACAAUUUCUGAGUGUGGCUUCAGCCUUCUGCACUUUAAAUGGGCUUGGCACAAGUGUUUUAGCCCAUAUCUGCGGACAUCAACAUAUCAUGAAGAUGAGCUCAGAUUGCCUCUAGCAAUUGUUUCACAGUGGAUGAAAGCCAUUAACCAGUGUGCUUGGUUGCUGCUAGUUCUGGAAAAGUACUGUGGUUCUCUGGCUCUUGUGAGAAUGUAGAAUAUCCUAAUGCCCUGCGGAUAGUAUGUGAUUCCUGAUUUGGAAAGUGAAGUUGCAAAAGAGAUCGGGGUCCUAAAAUGAUCCAGAGGCUGAUCCUGUUGAAGGGGAGAAAAAGGUAGAGUUUUCUGUGCAAUUCUGGGGGAAGGUGCUUAGCCUCUUUGGUGAAUGGUGAGGAUUUUAAGCCAUCGCCGAUCAGGUAAAUUUACAGAUUGUAAAUUUGUUGCAGUUCAAACUGACUACUGAUCUGGACUUUCAGUUGCAUUUUAUCUUGUGGUUUUUUAAAUGAAAUCAUAUUUUUUGUUGAUCUUAUUCAGUUUUUAUAUAUGUAUCCAUGGUGGUGGAAAUAUUGCUGUAUUGCUCUUCGGACUCUAGUUAUUGCCACUGAAAUUGUAAACGAGCAUAUAUCAUCUGGUUCCAUUGGAGACUUA